rnacentral:rRNA from 1 species
AUUGAACGCUGGCGGCAGGCCUAACACAUGCAAGUCGAACGGUAACAGGAAGCAGCUUGCUGCUUUGCUGACGAGUGGCGGACGGGUGAGUAAUGUCUGGGAAACUGCCUGAUGGAGGGGGAUAACUACUGGAAACGGUAGCUAAUACCGCAUAACGUCGCAAGCCCAAAGAGGGGGACCUUCGGGCCUCUUGCCAUCGGAUGUGCCCAGAUGGGAUUAGCUAGUAGGUGGGGUAACGGCUCACCUAGGCGACGAUCCCUAGCUGGUCUGAGAGGAUGACCAGCCACACUGGAACUGAGACACGGUCCAGACUCCUACGGGAGGCAGCAGUGGGGAAUAUUGGACAAUGGGCGCAAGCCUGAUGCAGCCAUGCCGCGUGUAUGAAGAAGGCCUUCGGGUUGUAAAGUACUUUCAGCGGGGAGGAAGGGAGUAAAGUUAAUACCUUUGCUCAUUGACGUUACCCGCAGAAGAAGCACCGGCUAACUCCGUG